GUCUUUUUGAGAAUAAUUUAAAGUCUAAUCUGCCCACUGAUUAUUAAUUAAAGGGCUGCAGUAUAUUGACUGUACAAAGGUAGCAUAAUCAUUAGUCUUUUAAUUGAAGACUUGUAUGAAGGAUUUGAUGAAAUAUAAACUGUCUCUUUUUUAAAAUUAGAAAUUAAUUUUUUAGUAAAAAAGCUAAGAUUUAUUUAAAAGACGAGAAGACCCUAUAGAGUUUUAUUAAAAAAUUAAUUUCUAAUUUUAUAUAAAUUUUUAAAUAAAAAUUAAUUUUUUAAUUUUGUUGGGGUGAUAAAAAAAUUUAAAAAACUUUUUUAUUUAAAAAUCAUUGAUAUAUGAAUUAAUGAUCCAUAAUUUAUGAUUAAAAGAAAAAAUUACCUUAGGGAUAACAGCGUAAUUUUUUUUUUUAGUUCAAAUAAAAAAAAAAGUUUGCGACCUCGAUGUUGGAUUAAGAUAAAAUUUAAAUGCAGAAGUUUAAAGUUUUGAUCUGUUCGAUCAUUAAAAUCUUACA
rnacentral:rRNA from 1 species